rnacentral:rRNA from 1 species
GACGUAGGGCGCGAGCGUUGUCCGGAUUUAUUGGGCGUAAAGAGCUCGUAGGCGGCUUGUCGCGUCGUCCGUGAAAACCUGCAGCUCAACUGCAGGCUUGCGGUCGAUACGGGCAGGCUAGAGUUCGGUAGGGGAGACUGGAAUUCCUGGUGUAGCGGUGAAAUGCGCAGAUAUCAGGAGGAACACCGGUGGCGAAGGCGGUUCUCUGGGCCAUUACUGACGCUGAGGAGCGAAAGCGUGGGGAGCGAACAGG